GUCACUGGUGCAGUGAUAAGCAUAGUUGCCUCAUGAACAGCGUGUCCGUGGUUCAAGUCCCCGCAGUGGCA